rnacentral:rRNA from 1 species
GAUGAACGCUGGCGGCGUGCUUAACACAUGCAAGUCGAACGGUGAACACGGAGCUUGCUCUGUGGGAUCAGUGGCGAACGGGUGAGUAACACGUGAGCAACCUGCCCCUGACUCUGGGAUAAGCGCUGGAAACGGCGUCUAAUACUGGAUAUGUGACGUGACCGCAUGGUCUGCGUUUGGAAAGAUUUUUCGGUUGGGGAUGGGCUCGUGGCCUAUCAGCUUGUUGGUGAGGUAAUGGCUCACCAAGGCGUCGACGGGUAGCCGGCCUGAGAGGGUGACCGGCCACACUGGGACUGAGACACGGCCCAGACUCCUACGGGAGGCAGCAGUGGGGAAUAUUGCACAAUGGGCGCAAGCCUGAUGCAGCAACGCCGCGUGAGGGAUGACGGCCUUCGGGUUGUAAACCUCUUUUAGCAGGGAAGAAGCGAAAGUGACGGUACCUGCAGAAAAAGCGCCGGCUAACUACGUG